rnacentral:rRNA from 1 species
GGGGGCUAGCGUUGCUCGGAAUCACUGGGCGUAAAGGGUGCGUAGGCGGGUCUUUAAGUCAGGGGUGAAAUCCUGGAGCUCAACUCCAGAACUGCCUUUGAUACUGAGGAUCUUGAGUUCGGGAGAGGUGAGUGGAACUGCGAGUGUAGAGGUGAAAUUCGUAGAUAUUCGCAAGAACACCAGUGGCGAAGGCGGCUCACUGGCCCGAUACUGACGCUGAGGCACGAAAGCGUGGGGAGCAAACAGG